rnacentral:Y_RNA from 1 species
GGCUGACUCCAGGGCAGUGGUAUUUAAAACUAUUGAUCACAAUCAGUUACAGAUUUGUGUUUUUCUUUAAUUUCACUGUUUCACUUGACUAGCUUUUU